rnacentral:rRNA from 1 species
GGAUUAGAUACCCUGGUAGUCCAAGCCCUAAACGAUGUGCACUAGGCAGGGGGGGUCCGAUGCCCUCCUUGUUGGAGCUAAUGUGUUAAGUGCACCGCCUGGGGAGUACAGUCGCAAGGCCGAAACUCAAAGGAAUUGACGGGGGCUCACACAAGCGAUGGAGCAUGUGGUUUAAUUCGAAGCAACGCGCAAAACCUUACCUGGGUUUGACAUGCACGGAUUAGCCUAUGGAAACAUGGGUAACGCCCGCGAGGGUGGAACGUGCACAGGUGCUGCAUGGCCGUCGUCAGCUCGUGCUG